rnacentral:rRNA from 1 species
GGGUUCGAUCCUGGCUCAGGAUGAACGCUGGCGGCGUGCUUAACACAUGCAAGUCGAGCGGAGCUUUCAGUGAAUCCCUUUCGGGGGUGAAAGUGAUGAGUUUAGCGGCGGACGGGUGCGUAACGCGUGGGUAAUCUGCCCUUGUCACUGGGAUAACACAUCGAAAGGUGUGCUAAUACCGGAUAACAUGCAGACUCGGCAUCGAGACUGCAUCAAAGAUUUACGGACAAGGAUGAGCCCGCGUCUGAUUAGCUAGUUGGUGGGGUAAAAGCCUACCAAGGCCACGAUCAGUAGCCGACCUGAGAGGGUGAUCGGCCACACUGGAACUGAGACACGGUCCAGACUCCUACGGGAGGCAGCAGUGGGGAAUAUUGCACAAUGGGCGCAAGCCUGAUGCAGCAACGCCGCGUGAGUGAUGAAGGCUUUCGGGUCGUAAAACUCUGUCCUAAGGGAAGAUAAUGACGGUACCUUAGGAGGAAGCCCCGGCUAACUACGUGCCAGCAGCCGCGGUAAUACGUAGGGGGCAAGCGUUAUCCGGGAUUACUGGGCGUAAAGGGUGCGUAGGUGGCCUGAUAAGUCAGGGGUCAAAGGCAACGGCUCAACCGUUGUAAGCCCCUGAAACUAUCGGGCUUGAGUUCAGGAGAGGAAAGCGGAAUUCCAAGUGUAUUCGGAGCAGAGGUGACAGGUGGUGCAUGGUUGUCGUCAGCUCGUGUCGUGAGAUGUUGGGUUAAGUCCCGCAACGAGCGCAACCCUCGUCUUUAGUUGCCAGCAGUUCGGCUGGGCACUCUAGAGAGACUGCCGAGGAUAACUCGGAGGGAGGUGGGGAUGACGUCAAAUCAUCAUGCCCCUUAUGCUUAGGGCUACACACGUGCUACAAUGGCUGUUACAAAGGGUUGCCAAGCCGUGAGGUGGAGCUAAUCCCAGAAAGACAGUCUAAGUUCGGAUUGUAGGCUGAAACUCGCCUACAUGAAGCUGGAGUUACUAGUAAUCGCAGAUCAGAAUGCUGCGGUGAAUGCGUUCCCGGGUCUUGUACACACCGCCCGUCACACCACGGGAGUUGGGGGGGCCCAAAGUCAACUAUCCAACCGCAAGGGGGAAGUUGCCUAAGGCAAAAUCAAUGACUGGGGUGAAGUCGUAACAAGGUAGCCGUAUCGGAAGGUGCGGCUGGAUCACCUCCUUUCU